rnacentral:rRNA from 1 species
AGAUUGAACGCUGGCGGCAUGCCUAACACAUGCAAGUCGAACGGCAGCGCGGGUAGCAAUACCUGGCGGCGAGUGGCGGACGGGUGAGGAAUACAUAGGAAUCUACCCUGUCGUGGGGGAUAACGUAGGGAAACUUACGCUAAUACCGCAUACGACCGAGAGGUGAAAGCGGCGGACCGCAAGGCGUCGCGCGGCUGGAUGAGCCUAUGUCCGAUUAGCUAGUUGGCGGGGUAAGACGCCCACCAAGGCGACGAUCGGUAGCUGGUCUGAGAGGAUGAUCAGCCACACUGGGACUGAGACACGGCCCAGACUCCUACGGGAGCAGCAGUGGGAAUA